rnacentral:rRNA from 1 species
UACAGAGGUCCCGAGCGUUGUUCGGAUUCACUGGGCGUAAAGGGUGCGUAGGAGGGUAGGUAAGUCAGUGGUGAAAUCUUCGAGCUUAACUCGGAAACUGCCCGUUGAUACUAUCUAUCUUGAAUACCGUGGAGGUGAGCGGAAUAUGUCAUGUAGCGGUGAAAUGCUUAGAUAUGACAUAGAACACCAAUUGCGAAGGCAGCUCGCUACACGAAUAUUGACUCUGAGGCACGAAAGCGUGGGGAUCAAACAGG